UCAAUGGCCGCGAGACAAAUGCUGUUGUGACUGCUAGAGUGCAAAUUAAAAUUCGUUUAUCUCGCGCAAAAACAUUCGUAUAACAUUUUGUUUACCAAGAAGAUAUGUGACUAGGUUUUGGUGAUAGAAAUUAGAAGUGAGUAACCAUAAUGGACGUAGAUGAUUCGGCGGUUGACCUGAGCGUCAGGGCAUUGCCACCUGAGUUGAGCGAAUUGAGGGCUCUGACGGCCAGUGGGCUGACUAUUACGCCUGCACAACCACCACCACAUGUAAGUAAAAAUAUAAACCUAUAUAUAAAUUCCACAUAAAACCUCUUUUCAACAUUAUUUGGCUAUAAAAUGUACCUUUAUGUGAGUGGUCAAUAUGCUAUACUUCCUUUAACCAAGUCAUUGUAGUCUAACUUUGUUUAUAAAUACCACAUGCAUAAAUCAUUGCUGGAGGUCGUAACACAGAUAAUAUUAGUUCUAUCUACAUAAGGAAGAGGUUGCAAUUAAAUUAUUCAUUUGUACUUACUAACAAUCAUGAGAUACUGCAGUAUAGGGAAAUAUCAAUCAUUAAUUAAAUAUUGGUCUUAUUAAAUUGACAAAGGAAGAAAAUACCUUAUUUCUUAACAAUGAAAGUUUAUUUUCACACCUGAGAUGUUAAUUAAUUGUCUUAGAUUGAUUUCGUACACUAUUACUGUAAAUUAUUAAUAUCUAUUUUUCUUUUGCUAUCACAAAAAGAUUGACAGGGUAAGUACUCGAACAAUGCUUUUGCCAUGAAGUUUGUGUCAUCAGUAAAAAUUCCACUAUUUCAUCUGUAAAUACAACAAAACAUUUAAAUUGAUGUUAAUGAUAUAAAUUUUAAUUACUUAAAAUAAGUUAUAUAUAUUGUGACAAAAUUAAAAUACAUUAUAAACUCAUUUACAUAUUGGCAUUAUAGAGGGCCUUUGCUUUGCCAAACAAUGGAUUAGUGGAGGCUUAUAAAAAAAUAAAGAACUUUAUGGUUUGUUUUGUUUUUAAUUAUGACAAAAUACUAUGCAGUCCGGUUUUGUUGCUUAAAUAUGAGAAAUAAAUUGGAUUAUCUAAAUAUUUGUUUAUCUCAUCUAUGGUCAUACAUCAAUUAAGGCACAAUAAAUACAAGUGGACAAAUUUAAUUUUAUAUGCACAUCACAGAUGACAGAGAUCCACUAAUUAAAAAGUUAAUACUAUUAAAUGUUAAUUGAGUUAUGAGUCCCAUGUAGAAAGUGUGAAUUUAUUGACUGCUUGCCAUUAUUCUCAAGUUCCCUAAAUCCUAAUAAACCACUAAUUUGCACAACUAUAAAAUGAGUCUUUGACAACUUAUUUUAAAGUCUACCAAUGAUGCAGUCUUACAAUUACAAGUUUAGUGGAUUUAAAAUGAAAUGUUUUACAUGGAACAGGUAAAAGUUAAAUUAUGACAGCA